GUUCAGUUCUUUCACUUUAGUUCGUUUUUUUUUUGAUCGUUCAUGAACGAUCCACCACUACUUGAACUAAGUGCGUCAGGGGACCAAUGUUAUAUGCUUACAGCGAUACGGAAGUGCCGCCUCCCCUCCAGCGAGAAUGGCGAGCAGCACCAGCAGGACCACAGAUGUAAGCGCUGACGAUUCCAUUUCUCUCGAUCAGCUGGUGAAACUGGUCUGGCCCGACGAUUGCAAAGUUUAGCGCACAACUGAGUUCCGCGCAAAUAUCUUUCUUCUUUUUUAAAUUAAACAACACCAACAGCUGUGCUCGUGCUGCGUUUUUAGGAAGUGGAUGGCUUUUGAAAAGAGUCCUUAAUCGAGUUCAAGGAGCAAUUGUUUUGUGGUGGACACAUCACUUGGCAAUAUUCGCUCACUGCGCCCUUACGGUUCCAAAGCUCGUUUUACGAUGAUCUUCUUAUCGCUUGGCCACAAAAUCAGUCGUUCUUGCUGUUUUUGCGUAAUGUGCAAAGGAAAAACAAAAAAUCGAAAUCCAUGUGUGUGAUUGUGUCCGUCUGACGUUUUGUCUGCGUACGUGUAUUCAUGUACGGCAGCACGGGCGGUCUUGCCUGCUUAACAUAUAACAUGCCACCCGUCCAUGCAUUUCCAUUGUCAUCAUUGCAGACACCACAUGGGUGAGAAGUGAGUCGGAUUUGCAAUAAUUGUAGGGUAUAAAAUACACAAUAUUCCAUUCCGGCACCUUCAAUUGGUCGACUGUGCUUCCGUCUCCCACUACGCAUACGGAUGCUUCAUGUUAUUAUCUCUCGUACGGAUUCCCGUACUUCCUCAUUCAUAUCUGAAAACCAUCUUCUUGUGCAGCAUCUUUAUUGAUCUAUAUACAUAUAUUAAUGAUGAUAAUACUCACACAAAACAAUGUUUAAAAAAGAUCAGAAAUGUAUUCUACAUUUUCCGCAAAAUUUUCGGGCUUUUUCAGCACUUUUAAACUAUUUUUAAACAAUUAGCCAAAUCAUUCUAAACAGAUUAUUUCAUCUGUACUAUAUAAACAGAUUUUUUUGAUUGCUGAAUUUAUUUUUUUGAUUUAUGCAACACUUUCCAUACAAAAAAUCAAACUAACGUUUGACAGCCCUGGAAAGGCCUACUUUAUACAAAAAUACUAAACUUUUUCCUAUUAUUCUUAAAUUUUCGAAUUUUCCG